UCCAUUUGGUUCCAAAUUUUAGUGAGACCUUGAUAUGUGUAAUGGCGGUUGCUGAUUUAGUUUUCAACUAGUCACUUUAAAUUAAAGCAGAAAUUCAAUCAGAUUUCUUUGUUUAUUUGUUAAGAAAAUUAUAUUCUACUUUUUUUUAACCAAUCAAGUUUAUAUCAACGCUACUGUCUCAUAUCAAAGCUUUUAUUUGAGGAAAAUUUAACCCACUGACCGUUACAUAGGCCUGACUACAAUGGCAAAUUAUAGCUGUGAUAAUCUAGUGGAUGUCCCCGACACCUGUAUAAAGAAAAGGCAUAUUGAUUUUAAUCGAAGACGAUCAUAUAACGUUGAUGAACUUUUGUCAUCAUCACCUUUACGAUGUGAUAGCAACUCUGAUGACAGCAUAGACAAUUCUCCUGUUAAAGGAGCUAAUACAUUUAUAGUCGGGAAUGACGAAUCGUUUCGAGCGUAUAUUGAGCGAACCAAAGUGGAAACGAGGCGUCAAGAUAGCUUUAAGCUCCGUGAUAUUAAAAGAUACGUCCCCAACAGAUUUGUCUCAAAAGAAACAGCCACAUGUAGAGCAGAAAGUGAUCGGCCCUUAGAAAUACAAAAUAAAUUGGAAAUAAUAAAAGAGUCUCUCAAUUCACCUGCUGAAAGCCGGGAAAAAAUUGAAGUCAAGAGAGAAACUCCCAAAAGAGGUGUACAACGCUCUGUUAGUCUGAAAAGUCGCGAAAAACCCAAAAUGACAGGGAAAUCAUCCAUAGAUAAUAAUAAAAAUAGACGCCGAUCUAAUGCCCUCCCUAAAAUGAGUGAUAUAAAUAAAGAAAAGAUUGACGGAAGGGGGGAAGCAAAAGAAAAUACAAAAGAAAAGUCAAAAAAAGUGAAAGAGGUGCCUAAAGUUAAUGACAGGAUGAAAGACUCAUCUUUUAGUGAUUUAUCAAGCAUAUCAAGUGUUAGCGACUUGUCUUUAUCAAAUGUUUUAAACGUUUCACGGCCUAUUACUGGAAGAAUUGAAAGAAGGGCAGCAAAUGAUGUUGAUGAUAAAAAAAGUGAUAAAAAAGAUAGUUCUAAGAAAAAGAUAUUUCCCCAGAUCAAAGCAGCGUUAUUUAGGCCUGGGCAGAAAUUUGCCAAAAUAUCUGAGAAAAAAAGCGGUCCUGUUAAAGCUACUCCAGCUAAGAAGGAAAUUGAUAAAGAUAUUUCCGAAACUUCACAAGAUAGUGGCAUAUCUUUUUCGAAUCAAGCUGCUCCUAUACUAGCAUCGACGCCCGUUAAGAAGAGCCAGUCUAUUGCUUCACCAUUUAUCCAAACGCCUAAAAAAUCUUUUAUACCGACACCUAAAAAAUCAGGAAGUUCUAUACGAAGGAGUAAUUCAUCAGCAAGUUCAGCAGAAAAUCUUAUGGGUUUUCAAACGCCAGUUAAAACUGAUAUACUGGUUGAUUUUACUCCAUAGUAAAAGGUAUCACUUAGGCUUUUUAAAGAGUUUUUACCCUCUGUAAUUUACUUUAACUGAGUGAACAGUAAAAAAACAAAUGAAGAUUUAUAUUAGAAAAGAGUUUAUUAACCUUGAAAGCUUUUUUUUCUACUUUAUUUUAAUAAUGACUUUAAAAAAAAAUUUUUUAACCAGUUUUUUUUAAGUUUUUUUAAUGAAGUAAUUAACCUCUGUGUUAAUCAAUUCAUUUCAGCUUCGCAGGCAAAGGCGUCGGAAAAGCAUAGACACAAUGGAUUUCGAUUUCGAAGGCGUAAAUAAAACAGCCGUUUGUCUAUAAUAGUCUUUGCUUGGUGUGUUGCCGUGAAUAUUUCUUGUAUAGUUAACAUAGAACGUAGACUGGUAGUAAAAUGUUGCUUUUCUUUUUGAUAUUCUAAAUACUUUAACUGAAUUACUAUACACUGUACAAAUAGGAGUUUUUAAACUUCUAUUUUUCGUUUACUGUUUUUUUUUUCAAUAAAAAAUAUUGUUCAUGUAUAUGAACACUCAUG
rnacentral:misc_RNA from 1 species